rnacentral:rRNA from 1 species
AUUGAACGCUGGCGGCAGGCUUAACACAUGCAAGUCGAGCGGUAGCACAGGGGAGCUUGCUCCCUGGGUGACGAGCGGCGGACGGGUGAGUAAUGUCUGGGAAACUGCCUGAUGGAGGGGGAUAACUACUGGAAACGGUAGCUAAUACCGCAUAACGUCGCAAGACCAAAGAGGGGGACCUUCGGGCCUCUUGCCAUCAGAUGUGCCCAGAUGGGAUUAGCUAGUAGGUGGGGUAAUGGCUCACCUAGGCGACGAUCCCUAGCUGGUCUGAGAGGAUGACCGGCCACACUGGAACUGAGACACGGUCCAGACUCCUACGGGAGGCAGCAGUGGGGAAUAUUGCACAAUGGGCGCAAGCCUGAUGCAGCCAUGCCGCGUGUGUGAAGAAGGCCUUCGGGUUGUAAAGCACUUUCAGCGAGGAGGAAGGUGGUGAGCUUAAUACGUUCAUCAAUUGACGUUACUCGCAGAAGAAGCACCGGCUAACUCCGUG